UAGGAUGGCAAACAAGAAGUCGACCAAAAUAUCCGGCAACGGUGGUGAGCAUAGUGGUGACAUGUGAUUUCCAUGCCUAUUUGUCGGCUCUACAAAAUGCACAUUUGAUUUCUCCAUAUUCAUUUGUUGAUUUCUACUUUCAUGAGAAGUUGAGAACUACUUGAGGCAGAGUAUUUACAUCCUCAAUUUCAUCCUUCACUCCUUGUAGGUGUACUUACCCUUCUCUUGCUGCUGUUGCAUCUAGAUAUGCAAUCUAUGCUAGCUUUGUGGAAGUGGAGAUGGAAAGGACGUUGUCAUUAGUCAAGUCAUGUGAGCGGGGAAGGGGCCAAAAAAGCGAAGCUAAAAACAGCUAACAGGCCCAUCAGAAUAUUGUAAGGAUGAAACUUUUCAUCCUUGCACAUCAUGUGAUAAUUGAAUACUAUAAUCACAUGACCUAUUUACUCGUUAUGAUCUCAUAUACAUAUUUUUGGGACAUUUUUUGUUCCUUUUCUUUCUUCACGGGCCAUCUUUAGUGCUUUUCCAGUUAAUGGUAUCUUUGGGCCGAAAUAUAAUAGUUGCUAAUGCCUUUGGAUCGUUUACUUUGUUGGUUUUAUGAUUCUUGGAGGAUUCAUCACAACUAAAGGUUGAUUCGUCAGAAAUAUUUUCAGCUACUUGAGGUUACAUUUUGAACCGAUACAUCUAACAUAUUGCAACCUUUUUCUGACUAUUUAAAAGAAAGCUCAGUCUGUUGGUUUUGGUGUUAUGGGAUCUCUCCUAUUAUAUAUGCACAAAAUGCUAUAUCAGUAUAUGAAUUCCAUGGGCAUUCUUGGUCCAAGGUGAACUUGAUUUUAAUAAUUCUCCGAAGAAGUUGUGCACUUUUCAUUUUGUCUCAACCAAUGUCGCUUUCAUCUUAAUCAUAGACAUGCGAGCCUAAUUUUUCUUGCAUAUUUUACUUGGUGGCUAACUCAAACUUAUUUGUUGUCAUUUUUGUAUUCAUCAUCACGAACAAGACCAGAUCACUGGAGUAGUCUCUGUCAAAACAUAUAACAAAUAAUAAGCCCUAUCACUACCUCUAGAGAACAAACAAGAGUUAAAUGAUGUAGAUUAUGAAUGAUGAACUCGUAAUGGGCGUGGAGGGCAGGUCUGCAAGGUGUUUUGGUAACCCUUUCUUGGUGUGAACAAUAUGGUCUGGUAUUGUUGUUAGUUGUCAAUCAAUCCAGGAUUUGACCUUGUUUGCAAAUUCAAGUGUUUUAUUAGAAGGAUGACGCAAAUCCAACACAAGGAACAUGUUAAUAUGCAUACUAUUGUUCUUCCUGAGUCAUUUGUGCAACAUAUAUUUUUCACCAUAGUAAUUGAAAUUUGACUCGUGUGUAGGUUGAUUUUGGUGUGUUCGAAGUUCUACAACUAUCAAAGGCUGCUCGUUCUGAAAGUUAUUCAGAAACAUGCACGCUGUGACCAACUUUUUUUUCAGAUAUCUCUAUUUUUCAAUGGUUUGUGCUGAUUCACAAAGGUGCAAUGAAAUUAUCUAAAAUCAUUUUAUUUUGGCUUCCCAUUGACUACUUUGAAGAGUGGGGCAUCCUGAUGUUUUCCUUUGACGUGCACAGUAUCCCUAUGUUUUUACACUACCAUUUUUUCAUUCUUUUUUAGUGUAUAUGAUGCACUUCUUUUGUCUAAGUUAACUCUUCAUUCUUCUCCUAUGCUCUUCCAGAUUGAUUACUCUUUAGACACUGAAUUAAAUGUUUCACAUUUUAUUGGAGAAUCAUAUAUCUAUGCUAGAUUAUAAUAUUUAGUUCAGAAUUGUGUAUCCACCUUUUUACUGAAUUUUACAAAUGUUUUUUGCUUGUUUAGUUUACCCAGCAUUAGGGCUCUCUCACAUUUUUGUCCUGAUUUUUAUAAAUAUCUGCUGGGGAUUCAUAUUUUUUCGUUAUUUCUUCCAUUUGUUUUGAAAGAGAAUAUCAGUUUUGAAUAGUCAUUAUCUUUGACCAUUAUAUUGUGAGUCGAUACAAUAAUUUCUCAUUUCAGGUCCACUCCCUCCUCGAAGAAUAUCUGAUUCAUUAUUCGUUUCGUGAAUUCUUUAUUCCAGCUCCUGCGGAGGAGGAUUAUGCACCCUUAUUAUCAUUGCGAAGAAGGCAAUAGAAGGCUAUGGAUUUUCUAGGGUGGGCACAUUUGCUGUCUGGUCUUCUGAUGCAACACUGUGAUUCACCUUUUGCUCUCUGGUUCUUGAAUUUUGGCUUUUGGCUGCUCGUGUAGUAUCGUCCUAAAUAAGUAGAUGAGUUCGAUCCAUCGUGUCCAUUUGUCCUUUGGGUAAAUAAAUGAAGAAAACUACAAAAAUAUAUAUUUUGUGCUGUGUGAUUUAUCUUGUAAGACUGUUACCUUUCUAUUAAGACACAUAUUACCUUGCUUUGCUUGCUCUGCUUUCUGAGUGAAUGCUCUGCUGCUGGUGCAGUUUAAUUAUGUCUAAUUUUUUAGAACUGGCAUUUAUUUAGACUGUAUAUACAUGUUUACAAAUUUAUCAGCUAGAUUAGUGUGUCGAGUCACGCAAAGGAGACGUGCCCUGGGUGCGUCCCUGUCACUAGUAUCUUAUUUUUUAUUUUUAUUUUUAUUUAUAAAGUUUACACUUGGUGGUCGUCCGUUCACUCCUAUGUACCACCUCUUUCUCUCAGCUCUGUCAAGCGAACCACGCGUAAGAACCUAC
rnacentral:lncRNA from 1 species